rnacentral:rRNA from 1 species
GAUGAACGCUGGCGGCGUGCCUAAUACAUGCAAGUCGAGCGAACAGACGAGGAGCUUGCUCCUCUGACGUUAGCGGCGGACGGGUGAGUAACACGUGGAUAACCUACCUAUAAGACUGGGAUAACUUCGGGAAACCGGAGCUAAUACCGGAUAAUAUAUUGAACCGCAUGGUUCAAUAGUGAGAGACGGUUUUGCUGUCACUUAUAGAUGGAUCCGCGCCGCAUUAGCUAGUUGGUAAGGUAACGGCUUACCAAGGCAACGAUGCGUAGCCGACCUGAGAGGGUGAUCGGCCACACUGGAACUGAGACACGGUCCAGACUCCUACGGGAGGCAGCAGUAGGGAAUCUUCCGCAAUGAGCGAAAGCCUGACGGAGCAACGCCGCGUGAGUGAUGAAGGUCUUCGGAUCGUAAAACUCUGUUAUUAGGGAAGAACAAAUGUGUAAGUAACUAUGCACGUCUUGACGGUACCUAAUCAGAAAGCCACGGCUAACUACGUG